GGUUUAGCUCAGUUGGAUAGAGCAUUGGUCUUCUAAACCAACGGUUGUGGGUUCGAUUCCCACACAAAUCA
rnacentral:tRNA from 1 species